UACUUGGAGGAGCGACUGUACCCCAGUCUCGUGAGUCCCAUCGGAACCAGAAGUCCUAUGUGGCAGUCACAGUUUGGGGUACAAAGUGGGGUGGGGGGACAGCCGGUAGAAGGGGCUCCCUGGGGCUGGGCCGGUGCCGAGCCCCGUGUAUCCUAAACAUGAGAGCACUUACCGUUUUAAAUUUGCCAUCGAGUAGGGCAUAGGGGUACACGCCUGUAAUCCCAACACUCCAGAGGCUGAGGCGAGAGGAGCACCUCAUGUUUGAGGCCAGCCUGGACUACAUAGUGAAUCCAAGGCCAACCUGGACUACAGAGCAAGACCCUGUCUCAAAAACAAAACAGAAAAAUCAGCUCGCCUUCAGAGACAUGGGGUGCAGAGGUCACGGUGCAGCCGUCACCACCCCAGGUUUCUGGGCUAAGCUGUCUUUGGCUUGAAUCUUUCUGCAGGUCUGGGUUAGAGGCUGAGUCCAGCCUCUUCUGUUAGAGCAGCAUCACCCCAAGCUCCACAGCCAUUUCCCAGGCCAAGUAAAGAGCUGAUGGAUGUCUGAGUUUCCUGGUGCCAGCUCUGGCCCCACAGAGACCUGUCCAAGGUUAUCUGGAGAUGAACUGAUGCAAAGCAGAUGGAGCUGCCCUUGGCCAGGGGCGCAUCCAGGCCCCUCCAGCCAAAGGCAGGCACCAUGGCUGGCUGGCUCCAUCUUCCCAGGUCAAGGACAGUGUUCACCCUUCUGAUGUUCGGGUCCCUGCUCUCUCCCUCCCAGCUGCCAGGGCCUGAGCUCUUUAUCUCAGAGUGCAGUGGCACAGAAAUCUGUCUUCCCAGUGGGGACUAGACCUCAAGAUUUCACCGCUCGAGGGCAGGGGGAGUCCUGGGCCUGGUGGAAACAGCCUUAAUGCUUCUAUGUAUAAACCAGAAAGGGAUGGCAGCCUGCUACCAGCAGACAGGCUGGCAGUCAGGCAGUUACACUCAGCCUCCUCUUCACUGUGUGACCUAGGCAAAGUCUCCAAACCUUUCCAGCAUCAGCUUCAUUUUAAAACUAGAAAGCCUGAUUAGAUAACCGCGACAGAAUCACCAUGCCCACAUCUGCGGGCUCCAGAACAAAGCCUGCCCAGGGCAGGGCCCAGUUCCUCUUCACACGAAUGGAGUGCCCUGCUGUGAAUGUUCCCUGCUGUGCGUGUGCCCUGCUGUGCGUAUGCCUGGCGGUGCGUGUGCCCUGCUGUAUGUGUGCUUGUCUAAUGGCACAGUUGCUGUGCAUGUUGUUGACUGCUUGUUUGUUGACUUCCACAGUUUCUGAGUGGUGAUCUCUAUUUUAUGCUUUGAUCCCCCGCAGUUCUUGUCGCCCCAUUUCACGCAGCCAGGGUAGAGAGAGGAAGUGACUCGGCCCAGAUUCCCCUCCCCAAUUCAAAAAGCUGGAGCCCGGCUAGCAUCCCCUCCUCCCACGGGCUGGGCCUCUGCUGCUUCCCGCACAUGGCACAUCAUACAAUGCAUGAAUGUAUCCUAGGCCCGUGGAGGGACACUGUGUGCAUUUCAACAGCAGAUCCCGAGUGUGCCUGGAGAGGGGUCCAGGCCGCGCUGAGUCCUGUUGGUGGCUGCAGCUGGCACUGUCCCUCAGCCCUGCUCCCACUUGGCUGCCCUCCUCCUCCUCCUUGCUGGCCUGGGGCUGCAUCCUCACUCCGGAGCUCCUUCCCAACCCCUCUUCUCGGGGAAGCGAGUGUGUAGUGUGCCCAACCUGGCAGCUCCUGCCCACAGCUGUCAAGUCUCAUGUAGUGCAGCCAGUGCCUGGGGACAGGCCAUGCCCACGAUGCACCUGUGACCUGGGCCCUGACAGCAGCCCGAGUCAGGAGAAGACGCCAGGCCUGUGACAAGCCGUGAUGCAAGUUCAGUCAUGAAUGGGACCCAGACCUGAGGACAGGAGCCGAGGGGGUGGCAGCAGGACAAGUGGCAGCAGUGCAGGUGCCCUGUGCCCUCUGGGUGCUGUUCUGCUCUUCUGCUGACUUUAAACUAUGUGUGCAUGUGCAUGAAUGUGUGCAUGUGUACAUAUGCAUCUCUGUGUGUGUGUGUAUGCAUGCAUGAGUGCCACUGAAGGUUGAAUCUAGGCCUUCACACUGACCUACACCCCCAGCUUUUUCAUUGCUUUGAGACAGACUCACUCACUUGUCCCAGCUGGACUCUGACUUGGGUUCUAAUGGCUCAGUCUCCCAGAACACAGGGAUUACGGGCAUGCCCCAUUAGACCCAGCUGAGUGACCACCUUCUGUUUACCCUGCAUACUGAGGCUUGUAGUCCACCUUUGCCAUUCAUCCUUUUCUCCUGACAGCUGAUGGGCGCUGGUGUCCACUUCCUGUCAGCCCUCCCAGGCCCCUGGGCCCUGUGCAAGGCCGAGGCUCUAUUGCUUGUUCAUUUUGGGGUGAUCUCCACUCCAUGGCCUUCUGGGCCUGGGCUCCUCCAGCCGGGGGGAAACACUUUCCCUGUGUCUGCCAAGCGCCCCUCGGGUCACAGUCCAGGUUCACAGCCUUCCUCCUCUCAGCUGUCAGGACGACCCUUAGGAGGGAUCCUCUGGAGAAUCCUGCCCUCACACCUGAGUUAGGGUCCAGGAACUAAGCACUUCCCUGCGCAACUGAUGCCCAGCAUGGGAAGGCAUCCUCAGGUUUGGAGGGGUGCGGACGUGGAGCUUCCACCUUAUAGCAGACGCAGUGGGUCGGGCAGCUGUACCCUGAGACGUCUGCAGCUCUGGGACCUGGGAGCCCCAUUAGGGGCUGCAUCUCACCAUCCAGAGUCAGGAGAGCAGGACCACACAGGACACAUUGAGAGGCCAAGGUCGCUGUGACCCUGCUGACCCUGCAUGUGGGGGACACUGCUCAGUUCGGCUCAGCUCAGUGUGCCAGGGUCCCUGGUGGUCACUGUGCUGGGCAGCAGAGCUCCGAGCUGAACGUGCCUGUGAGACCGACCUCUGGAACCCCUGCCCUGCUGCCCAGAACUCUUUCAUUAUCUGAAAAUCUUAUCCUUUAUUUAUUUCAAAUUUAUAUUUCAUUCUUCUCCACCAAUAGAAUUCCAUCCAUGUAAAUCAUUCUAACCCUGAGAGACUUCCGUGGAUCUUCUACAUCUCUGCCACAGAAGUAUUUUAGGAAAUCAAAAUAGAUUUAAAAAUUUCUAUCAUUACAAACUCUAAAAUGAAGCUUUUCCAUCUGGACUAAGUGUUCAGUACAGUUACAGAACAAUGUUCCCUCGGUUCCCCAACUUAAUUCUUCCCAGGAUUCUGGCUCACAAACCAACUGGACGAGAACAGAAUCCAACCCAAUGGUCAGUUAGGGUCAACACUGACCUUAUAGGCAGUUCUCGUCCGGUUCGGUUUGCCACCAGAAUAGUGGAGGGAGUGCAGUUCACGGACCAAGGUACUGCUGUAUGCUGCAGUGCAUAAUUAACCAAUUAGCAGUCACCACAAGCUGGAGAUCAGAGCCCAGACAGGCCUAGGUGCUGCUGUGGUUCGGGGCAGGUGUGGCCUGGCGGGGAAGCAGGAGCAGAGGCCAGCAGGCCCUGCCCUGUGCGUCCUUGGGGUCAUGUGACCGACCAGGCGGGUUUCCACAGCCCAGAGCUGGAUUCCCCUUACACACAGGCUCGGAGCAGCCCUGCAGGCUUAAAGCACAGCCAGGAAAUGUCAACUAGUACUUUGAGCUGUUUCCAAAAUAUGUGCUAAGAGCGCACUGUCACCCAGUGUUAAAAUGCUCCACAUUCUUCCGCUGGCUCACAGCGAGAGUGUAUCAUCUUUUAGUCUUGCAAGAGGACCUGUGCUUUGGCUGUUAGGAUAAUUUGGUUUCUCAAUUGUUAGGAUAUGGAUCUGGAGUUUUUAUGAAGCCUCAACAGUGUUAGGAUUAAGAAAAUCUUUUUCCCAGAAACACUAAAUCUAUUGGAAGACAAAUUAGGUAGAAACCUUGGAGACAUAGGAGUAGGUAAAGAAUUCAUGAACAGGACUCAAACUGCACGGGAAAUACUUCCCAGAAUCAAUAACUGGGACCACUUCUUAUUAAAAAGUUUCUGCAUGUCAAAAGAAAUCUGCAGCAUAGUGAAAAGAAAACCCACAAACUGGGAAAAGAUUUUAGUGAACUCUCUCUCAGACAAGGGCCUCUUGUCUAAAACAUAUAAAGAAUUAAAGAAACUCAGACCUCCAAAAUUCAAAGAUCCAAUCCAAAAAUGGGCAUCUGAGAUGAAUACCCAAUUCUCAGAUGAAGAAAUGCAAAUGGCAAAUAAAUACAUGAAAAAAUGCUCAUCAUCAUUGGUCAUUAGAGAAAUGCAAAUUAAAACCACACUGAGAUACCAUCUCACUCCUGAAAGAAUGGCCAGGAUCAAGAAAACCGACAACAAAUGCUGGAGAGGCUGUGGGGAAAAGGGAACUCUCCUGCACUGCUGGUGGGAGUGUAGACUGGUACAGCCUUUGUGGAGAUCUGUCUGGAGAUUUCUCAAAAAGUUGGGACUGGAAGUCCCAUUUAUUCCAGCUAUUCCACUUCUAGGCAUAUUCCCAGAAGAACUGAAAGCAUCACACCACAGUGAUAUAUGUGCACCUAUGUUUAUAGCAGCACAAUUUGUAAUCGCCAGAUCAUGGAAACAACCCAAGUGUCCAUCAACUGAGGAAUGGAUAAAAAAGUUGUGGUAUUUCUAUACAAUGGAGUAUUAUUCAGCUAUAAAGAAGGAUCACAUUGAGAUAUUUAUCAAUAAAUGGGCGCAGCUUGAGACCAUACUCAUAAGUGAAAUAAAUCAAUCUCGCAUGUGUGAAUACCGAAUAGUUUCCCUAAUGUAAGUAAUGAUUCAAAUAUAUAAAAAUAUGUGGUAAUCAUGAUUCCCCAUUAGGUGGCCUUGGAGCCUUAUAAAGUUUUCACUCAUUAAUUAGAAAGGCUUUAUUCUGGGCUUCUUGAUUUGAAAAUAUUUGAAGCUAGAGUAUAUGAAGUUUUAUCCAAAUAUUUCAAGGAAAAAGACACUAUGGUAACUACUAUUAAGUCAGGUUAUAUGGUGGUGAAGUACUAGGUUGUUGAAACAGUCAUGCUGUGACCUCUAUUGUUAUAUUGUUAUGUCCUGUUUUAUCUCAAUCUCCCCCUUAUUGUUUUAAAAAAAUUAGUCAUUUCUUAUGUUUGUCUUAAUUAAAGAAAAAAUUCAAAUAAUUAGGAUAUAUAAAUAAUAACUCUUUUUGAUUUCCUAUUAACUUGUUUUGAAGUCCUGUAGUACUCCCACGAUCUUGUUUUGACUGAUUAGACUCUGUUCCAUUCUAUAUGGUAGUAUCAAGUUUGAAGACAUAGGCAACUACUUUGAAGACAAUAAGAUUCACUAAGAUACCCAUUCUGGUUUGACUAUUGUCUUCUUUGGAAGUCCUGUAAUGUUUACAAUGCCUAAGUUGUAUUGGUCUUGUUCUCUACUGUUUUGUCCAACUUUAUAAUAUCUAAUGAGAUAGACAAUUCUUUUUAAGGAAACAAGGGACAACGUUGAUAACCAUAGUUGAUAAACUUGUACUGUGUUCUACACCAUGUGCUAUGUCUAUCCUUGGUAUUGACUGACAGCUUUGUUUUGCCAUAUUUGACUGUAUUCUCCCCCCCCCCUCCCCAAAAGUAAUAAGCACUAAGGAGUAAUGAAAAAAAAAAAAAAAAAAAAAAAAAAAAAAGAAAAUCUUUUUCCUGGGGCUGGGGAUUUAGCUCAGCGGCAUAAGCGCCUGCCUUGCAAGCAGGCGGUCGUGAGUUCGAUCCCUGGUACCGAUAAAAAGGAAAAAGACAAAAAAAAAAAAAAAAAAAAAAAGGAAAAAAGAAAAUCUUUUUCCUGGGACUCAGUGCCAAUCCUGCUUAAUGAGGGUACACAGCAAAGAUUGUGGUGUCAGCACGUUCUUCUCUUCAUACACCUUUGGGAAUCUUUUUUGUUUUCGUCAAAUGUCAAAAUAACUAUUUUACAGUAUGCCAUGCUUUAAAUAUAUUUUUAUCAAUUCCUUGGUGCCGCGUCUCAAACCUGGCCUGCACAAGUGGCCAGUAGAGAAGUCAGGCCCCCUCAAUGGGAACCCAUGCUGAGCUCAGGGCCAUUCAGCCUCAGCCCAGGACUGUGUCUUCUCUCCUGGCAUCUUAACCUGUUGGGGUCUGUGCCUAGAUCCCCGAUUCCCCAAAUGGGUGCAUGGUGAAGGCUCAAAGGAAUGAGACAAGCGGCAUGGUCUUAGGGCUCCAGGUGGACUAAAAUCCUUGGCAGAGCUUGUAACUCUGCUAGCUGGUCAGCUGGCUGAUCCUGGAUAGCCCAUAUUUAAUCAGAACAAGCAGGCAGUUGAGUGGACAAUGGAGGAAACCUGAGCAGGAUCUUGGGAGGGAUUCAAGGACCCCUCAGAGUAACAGAGGAUGCUAAUUAAGAAAACUAUCCAGAAGUCUUCAGGAGGCCUCAGCUGUGGCCUGUCUUGCCUCUUGAGGUGUCUUCUUGUUCUCAGGUCCGCCAUGUCCAGGCCACACCACAGCCCUGCACAUCUAUUCAGCUUCAGCAGCUCCAACAGUAACCCUGGCCACUCUGCUCUUUGACUUUAUAGCUCGGGUCUUGCUGGACUAAGGAAGGACAAUUACUGUCUGGAAACUGAACAUCAGAAUGAAUUCAUUCAAUCUAAAAACUAAUUUCCUCUGAAGCUUUUAUUAUUCCAGGGUUACCAGGUGCUGUAGGACAUAGAAUCACACGGAUCCCUCCCUGCCAUGAUCAAGUGUCAGUGUGGCCACCGCACCUGUCUGGACCCCCCAGGAUGGUCACCCCCAGCCGGUGUUCCUUGAACAUCCCCAGGGAGAAGGCACAGCCGAGAAGAACGUCCCCAGAGGGCACAGACAUUGCUAGAAAAACUCCCAGGGACCCGUACCCACUGCCCAACUGCUUCCGGUUCCUCAAAAUGGAAGCUGGGCACAGCAGGUUAUGGGCGCCCCAGGCCAAGGGUUUCCUGUGAGACCUGGGCUCCCUCAGGGCUUGGGCUGCCGUAAGAGUGGACAGAUAUUUCGAAAGGAGUGGACAGGGAGAGGUAAGUGGUGUCGUAGCAGGUAGCAGCCCUGGAGAGGUUUGGCCUCGUUGGUUCCGCACUGCACUCAGCCCACCCUUAACGGUUAAGUCUGGGAGCUCUCAGCGCACAGAGUCCAGCAGCAGGCGAAAGGCCGAGGGAGACUGUGAGUGACCUCACUCCAUGACCCUCAGAGGACACACUCAGGCUGAGCGCCUAUAGUGGAGAGGUCAGUGAAGCCACUGAGGGUGGCCUAGUCUGUGUUGCGGGGCCGGGCCGUUUGAUGCUGUAGCCCUUGGGUUUUGUUCCCAGCCAGGCACAUUUACAAGGUCGCUUUGCUCCUUUAACCCUGGGUCUGCGCUGGCCUGUGGGGCCCUCCUCCUGCACGGGAGGGAAGUUUCGGGACAUGCCUGGUUCCCAGACUGCCGUUUUUUGUGGGUGCUGUCUCUGGCCCUGCAGGGCUCUUGCUGCAGACUGGGGUCCCAGGUCUCUGCCACAAGGCUCUAUCUGGUCCUAUGGGCAGAAAGGAGCCGGACCCCAUAUCCUGUGGAUGCACAGACCAUGAAGUAACUCUCAAGUGCCGGCUUCGGAUCUUCCCACUCUCUGUAGAUGGUGUGACUGAAACCAUGGUGAAUAUAUUUCCUUACCUUAAUUUAUUAUGGUAGAGCACACAUUACUGUGAGUCCUCAAAUUCCCUCUUCUUGCUCCAAACAUGUGUAUCCUAUUGUUUCUUUGUUGCUGUUGUUGAAAUUUUGAGUCAGGGUCUUGCCAAGUUUCUAAGCCGCCUAGGCUGGGCUUGGACCUGUGACCCUUCUGCCUCAACCCCAGAGUGCUAGGGUCAUCGGUGUGGCCACGCCUGGCCCUGCUUUUCUAACGUCACAACACAUCCUCCCUGUAGACGGGGUCUCCCAGGCAGCCCCUGCCUGGCAUGGCAUCCUCAUCUCUCUGCAAGGCCAGAAGCACAGCGAGGCUUCCUGACUCCACGGUGGGAUAAAGAAGCAGCCACCACAGCAAAAGCCCAGGCAGGAGCCUCAGCAGAGAGAUAAGUUGAUUCUGGAGCCUGGAGCCAAGGUGGGCAGAUGCUGUGUUAGCCAUGGCUGAGCCCCUGGCUGACAAAGCCCAUCAGCAAAGACCUCGGGGCUUCUGCACGUGCGGCCCGACAUGAGUGGUCCUGCAUUGCACAGGGCUUUGGAGUCCUCCCUUCCACCACACGCUAACAUGGCUUCUCCCUGCUCUGGCGCUCUGACCCCCAGAUGGACACGAACUGUGGCUCGGAUGCCCACCGCAGAUCGCAGGACCAGCUUGGAGACUGACGGGGGCCAGCGAGGGCCAUCAGGGUUCAUGUUUUCUGAAUUGGUUAAGACAAAUGGGAAAAUGUGGUCAGUGGUGGGUCCAUCAUGCUUUCUGUCCACGGAGAACACAGAGCCUGUGCAAGCGUGCAGGCACCAGAUCUCCAUGCACACACACAGCAGUUGUGUCAGGACACAGGGAUCAGAGCUGCCUGUGCACAGCAAGGUGCUGGAGACCCGGGCCACACAUGAGGCACGUGCUCUCUGGGCUGCACCGCAGCUCCAAAGUGAGUCUUUGAAUGCACAGGACACUUGUGGUGCACACCCAGGGGAACCAUGGCAAUGCCAUGUUGGUGCUUCUGGGACUGCACACACCGGCCAUGCCAGAGCAGUUCUGAUGGAAGCUCCAGAGCUGGGUGCUCAGGGACACCCCGCAGCCUGCACCAGGACGGCGAUCUGGACCUCAGGAGGCUCUUGUGGGCUCUCUAUGGUCAGCAGGCUCCAGGAGACUCAACUGGGUGUCUGUGUCAUCUUGGGGACCCUGGGAAACAACAUGGCUGAGAUUUCCAAACCCCACACUGGGACAAGAAGCAUCUGGGUGGACUCUCCUGGGUUUUGAGGGGGACUUUGUCCACAAUUCCUCAGGACUGAGGAACUCAUCACCCCCUGGGGAGACCACAGUGCCAACGGCAGCACCCACAGCAGGGGACAGACCAGCUUCCCCUGUGGUGGGCAUGUCCCAGGGCUGAUACCUCUGUGGGGCACCCCCACCUUGUCAGGGCUCCCCACGGCUCUCCGUGCUGACAGGUCUGGUGUGGAUGCAGCCACCACCCUGCAGAGAGAACCCAGAGCCAGCCCUGCACCCUUGGCGAUCACAGGCACAGUGUCACCCAGUCCGGAGUGCAAGUACAGGAACGGGCAACCCUGACGCCUCACAGAUCCCUGAGGUGAGAGACCUCACCUGGUCAUGUUGCCAGGACAGUGUCUUCUCGGUUGGGCCAGCAGGCGGCCAUCUGAAGGCAGUCCGAGCUGCCCACAUGGCUUCCUGAGGCUGGGCACCCACACGCUCUGUGCUCAGCCUGGGUCCAGGACAGGCCCAGAGUGUCAUGCACUGGGAUCCGGUCCUGCAGGUCCUGCCCAGGUAACCCUGCCCCUGGGAGAGCAAACAAGAUGGAAAA